rnacentral:lncRNA from 1 species
CGAGGUGGAGUUCCAGAUGGAGGUGGAUAAGACAUGAGAUGCGAGACUCAAGAGGAUGAGAGGUGAUAUCGCAGAGUGAGAUUCCUAUUACCACAAGAUGAUACCCUGAGUAGAUCUCAAAUCAGGAAGAACAAAGCAUAUGAUAGAGAUGGGAUCGAAUAGCCUGGCUCGACUCCAAUGUUUGCCCAUCAAUAAUCAGCAGGCAAUUGCCCCA